rnacentral:rRNA from 1 species
UUCCGGUUGAUCCUGCCGGAGGUUACUGCUAUCGAGGUUCGACUAAGCCAUGCGAGUCGAAUGUAGCAAUACAUGGCNGAACUGCUCAGUAACACGUGGACAACCUGCCCUUAGGUUGGGUAUAAACCCGGGAAACUGGGUAUAAUACCCGAUAGGUCUCGAUUGCUGGAAUGCAUCGAGAUUUAAAGCUCCGGCGCCUAAGGAUGGGUCUGCGGCCUAUCAGGUAGUAGUGGGUGUAGCGUACCUACUAGCCUACGACGGGUACGGGUUGUGAGAGCAAGAGCCCGGAGAUGGAUUCUGAGACACGAAUCCAGGCCCUACGGGGUGCAGCAGGCGCGAAANCUUUACAAUGCUGGCAAUAGCGAUAAGGGAACCUCGAGUGCCAGGUUACAAAUCUGGCUGUCGAGAUGCCUAAAAAGCAUUUCAUAGCAAGGGCCGGGCAAGACCGGUGCCAGCCGCCGCGGUAACACCGGCGGCUCGAGUGGUAACCGUUAUUANNGGGUCUAAAGGGUCUGUAGCCGGNCGGAUAAGUCUCUUGAGAAAUCUGGCAGCUUAACUGUCAGGCUUUCAGGAGAUACUGUCUGGCNCGAGGCCGGGAGAGGUGAGAGGUNCUUCAGGNGUAGGGGUGAAAUCUUGNNAUCCUUGAAGGACCACCAGUGGCGAAGGCGUCUCANCAGAACGGACCUGAC